rnacentral:misc_RNA from 1 species
UUUCUUUUUGACAUACACCCUGGUUACUGUCAAACAGUUUUUUUUGUCACAGACAUUAUAAAAUAAAUACUAUAAAUUUUUUUCUUUUCUUGAUUAUAAAUAGCAAUUAAGAUUAAUAGAAACAAUUUUCAUGAUUCAUAUUUUAGUAUUAAGAAUUAAUGUAAAAAAGUAAUGCGAGAGAACAAUGGCAGUGUCUAACUUUUACGUAUUUUUGUUAUUAUUGGGUAUUGUAACAAUAACUAAAUGUGAAAGACUUCAUGAACAGAUAUACUCAUCUAUAGAAGGGGGGGCUCCAUGUUUUAGACGUCUAAAUGGCACACACCAAGCAGGAUGCUCUUCUUCAGACAAAGGGGCAGUUGGGGUGAUACACAUGGUGGAUAAUAUAAGCGAUGCUCAGUGGCUUGUUUAUAAUGCAACAGAGGGCCCAUAUAUGGCAGUUGUCAGUACUUCCUUGUUCUAUGAUAUUGUUGAAUUAUUUAUGUCAUAUCCUAAAAAUAUUGCCGGUGUGCUGAUAUAUGACAAUGUAAAUGACAGUGCCACAUCCUUUACUCAAGAUUCAAGAUGUCCAAACGAAUAUUCUUCUGGUCCUGGUAGUUUGUGCUCGUCAUCUCAAGCAGGAGGAGUUGUAUGGAAUGAGAAAGGGACAGGCUUACUAAAGAGAGAUAUACCAUUCCCUAUAUUUUUUUUACCACAAUCACGUUCUGAGGAGAUUGUCAAAAUUCGGGAUUGUUAUGAAAGAUUCAACUAUGAUAAAAAUAAUCAACAAGGAAGACCACUUUGUUCAGCUCAACUUAAUUCCUUCAUGUUUGCUGCAGUUAGUAGUGAAGUGUGUAUGAGGAGAUCUGCUACAUCGACUCUUUUAUCGCCUACUAAAGUUUGUGAUCCCUUGGGUGACAAUAAUGUAUACUAUUCUUUAUUCCCUGGAAUUAAGACAAAAGAUUCAGCAAAAAAAUCAGUUACAUUAGUUACGGCGAGGAUAGACAGUGCUUCACUCUUUGAUGGUGUAUCGCCAGGUUCCGCAAGUUCUGUUGUAGGAAUGGUCACUCUGAUAACAGCUGCUGCUACACUCUCUCAAUUGAUACCUGUAACGGACUCACAAUUGUAUGAGCAAAACGUUCUGUGGACGCUAUUCAAUGGCGAGGCGUUCGACUACAUCGGGUCGCAGCGCGUCGCGUACGACCUGCAGCGCGCCGCCUGGCCCGCGCAUGCGCCGCUCACGCCCGCCGACAUACCGCUGCACGUCGAGAUAGGACAGAUCGGAGGCUCCGUCAUCAGCCAUCUCAAUGAUACCACAUGGCCUUUACAUGCUUUCACCGCUACGCAAAUAGUGUCUGAGACAUUGAAAUUUCUAAACAGUCUGUCUACAUACGGCGAAAUGUAUAAUAUGACAGUUUUCUCCGAAUAUACGACCAAUCUACCGCCUUCGUCGUUACAUUCGUUCCGGCGAAUAUUAAGAAAUGUUACAGAAAGCGGGGACUUAGGAGAACUUCUGAUAACCGACCAUAAUAAUACAUUUACCAACAUGUAUUAUAAUUCCGCUUUAGACGAUUACGACAAAAUAGGUUUUAACUAUCACAACAUUAGUAUUAGUAGUGAUGGACAAUUCGUGCCCACGCCUGAACUCAUCGCCAAUGGUACAAUGAAAGAGAACGAGUUGCAAGUAAAGAUAUCCCGGCUGUCUACGGUGGUGGCUCGCACUUUAUACCAGAGAGUUACGGGCAAAGACUACGCGGGGGAUGUUGUGGCAUCGGCUCAUUUGGUGGACGAGAUGCUGUAUUGUUUCCUUCGUAGUCAGGCGUGUCGGCUGCUGCUGGCGGCGGAAUACGCGCAGGGCGCAGGCGCGGAGGAGAGUCUGCCCGACCGCGCCGCGCCGCUGUACGUGGGCGUGGCCACGUGGCCCGCCACCGCGCCCGUGUUCGCCGGACACCUGCUCGCGCUGCUCACCGGCACGCAUCUGCCGCUAAAUAAAUCCGGCUGCGAUGCGCAGAAAGAGGAGGGUUUCUCGAAUUAUUGGCUACGUGGAUGGAAUCACACCGGUGUUUGUAUUCAGACUACCAUGAACUUUAGUCAGGCUCUGAGUCCAGCCUUUAUAAUUCCAGACUACGACCUCAAAUCAGGCAUAUAUUCGACGUGGACGGAGUCGGUGUGGCACGCGAUGUGGGCGCGCGUGUUCGUGUCGGCGCGCUGCUCACCUACUGGCUGCAGCGACACGCGUCGCUAGUCUUCCUCGACAGGGCGCCGGCCUCCAUGGCGGUAGACGACGCCGCUUCGGGAAUAUUAAGGACAGUCAAUUGUUGAAGAAUAUCACACGUUGUGAACGAAGGCUGUGUACAUAGACUAUGUUGUAUGGUGAUGAGUUAACAUUCCAUCACGAUUAUGAUAAUGAUGUAUAAGUCCAAAUGUAAAGUAAUCUUCAUAAUAUCCAAUGACAAUGUGUGUUAUGAUUGGAUCAUCAAUAGGUAUUAUUGAAAUAUUUGGAUUGUCCAGCAAAUAAAUAACUCAUUUGCUUAUACUUUGAAUGUGUAGAAAUUAAUGUACCUAAUAAAUUAUUAUAUAAUUAAGUAUUUUUCUUUGUCUGGUAAUAACUAAUUAAAAAUAAUGUAAAAGUUUCUAUAAUGUAUUGAAAUUACUUUUUAUUUAUAUUUUUUUUUCCUAUUUUCUACUUUGUUUUGACAAUAGGCUAAAUUAACUGAGACAAAAUAAAAAGCAAGUAGCUACUA